rnacentral:rRNA from 1 species
GUCGAGAAUUUUUCACAAUGGGCGAAAGCCUGAUGGAGCGACGCCGCGUGGGGGAUGAAUGGCUUCGGCCCGUAAACCCCUGUCAUUCGGGAUCAAAUCCAGCAACCUAAUACGUUGCUGGCUGAUAGUACUGAAAGAGGAAGGGACGGCUAACUCUGUGCCAGCAGCCGCGGUAAUACAGAGGUCCCAAGCGUUGUUCGGAUUUACUGGGCGUAAAGGGAGCGUAGGUGGCGAACUAAGUCUAAUGUGAAAGCUCUGAGCUUAACUCAGAAAUGGCAUUGGAUACUAGUUUGCUUGAGGAUUGGAGGGGAGACUGGAAUUCUCGGUGUAGCAGUGAAAUGCGUAGAUAUCGAGAGGAACACCAGUGGCGAAGGCGAGUCUCUGGACAAUUCCUGACACUGAUGCUCGAAAGCUAGGGGAGCAAACGGGAUUAGAUACCCCGGUAGUCC